ensembl:lncRNA
CAAGUACGCGGGUUCCGCAUCCGCGGAUUCAACCAAUUGCCAAUAGUAAAGGUAGUACUAUAAGAUCCGAGGCUGGUUGAAUCCGUGGAUGCGGAACUCGCAGCUAUGGGUAUGGACCCCCGACUGUAUUUGCUGUUUUGAAACUGUGCUGCGUGUAGCUUCUGCAGGGACCUCUGAGCACUAAGGGAUUUAAAUCGUUAGUAGAAGGCCUAGGAAAAUAGGGCUUUGAGGGGCUGCCCCAAAACCCUUUCUGUAAGUAGGACCAAGGAUAAAAAUGGAGGGACUAUGCUUCAAUUUAAGUGGUUUCACGUGCUCAAGAGGCACCUCCCAUAUAUGGCCUCAAGUUGCCUCCGGAUUGAUUAGUUACUUAAAACAAGAGGAAUAUUCCUCAGGUGGCCCGUUUCUGAGGUAAAGAAAGCCAUGGUGGAGACAGACGGUCAACACGCCUGCUUACACGGGAUCGUGGGUGCUGCAUGACUAGAAAGAACCCACGUUUAAUUAGGAACUACGGAGAAUGGAAGUUAAGAGGUUGUCACAUACUCCAUGGGAAAGAAAAACAAGAUAAGACCUGCCAAAACACCUAUACAAGAAAGGAAGAAAGAGAUGGAGGAAAGGGAGAAAAGGAAGAAGAAGGAUGGGAGUUUCUUCAUUUAUUUCAGAAUAUGAAAGUGCUUUCUCUUAUGGAUAAACACAUGCCAAGACAUCUUGACAUUUGGUCAUCAUUAUUCUCUUCAUGUCAACCUACUUGAGGUGUUCAUCCUGCUAUUCUGGAAAUACUGGAAGAGUAUCCUCUAUAAGUAACCAGAGAAAGUCAAAGAACAGAGAACCCAGGCAUCUGUCUACGUUAAAAGGUGAUACAGUCAAAUGAAUCCACAGAAUGAUCCAUUUAACUAGACAGUCUACGCCAUACAACCAUUGAAGUAAGUUGUUCUUCUGGGGACACACAAACAUGCUUGAAAUAUCCCCUAAAUACAACACUUCUUCUUGUUCCAGAUUCUCCGCAAAACCAUGAGAACCUUUGGUAUAUUUCAGUCUCCUUCAAAGCUCCACUCCUCUGGCCUCUUAACCAGAGUCAGAUACUCAGUUCACACUGGUGGGCUGCCUACUUCAUUCUAAACACUGUGCUGCAUAUGAGGCAUACCAAAUGAAAGGCAUUUUCAAGCUGAAAUUAAAUAUCUGACCGGUGUUCCUGACGGCUCCUCUCCCGGUGCCACUGUGGGCUGCCUUAAAAGGAAAAUGCUUAUGUAAAGAAGACAAGUGUGGGAAGGCAGGCAUCAGCUUAACAGACCAAGGAGCUCAGCAAUUCCACCCACCGCUUCUUCCCCAGAGCAAACUCCCAAGAGGUGCUCUUCUAGCGAGAUGUCUGGUACUUUACAAUGCUUCCCCAGCCCUUUCUGAGGCGAUGAUUUCCUCCUGAUAGCUUAAUUUUAUUAGAUCAUAGGAGCACAGUCUGUAAAUGUGAAAACACUUAAAGGGAAAGAGAAACUUUCAAAGCAGCUGUUUAAUGUUGGGUUUAAAAAAAAAAAGGAAUCCGAGAGGGGAAAAAAAGAGAGAACUAAAUCUAAAACCUUACAAAAUAAAAGCUAUUUAAGCAGGCCAGCUUUCCCUUUCUCUCUCUACCUAAAAUAUUCAUGAAUUCUGCCACUGUGGUAUUGUAUGCUAGAUGCAAUCAAAAACUCUUAUGCAGAGCAGAAAUCAUUGAAAAGUGUACUGUUACCUUACAAUGCUUCACAGAAAAAUCCAUGAAAUCUGCAUUGCAAGGCACUGUCUCUUACUGUAGCAAGAUUGCUUCACAAAUUUCCAGGAGAAGGAGCAAUGAUCUUCACUUUCUGUUAUGCUAUUCAUAACAAGAUGCCUGGAGGAGGUAGCUGGCUGCUGUAAGGACUGAGGAUUCUCUGAGGCUCUGCUGGGAGGAGAAAGCAUUGAAAGGGGGCAAAUGAUCGCAUUCAGGGCCAAUUCAAUAUCGGUGCCCUGUAAUUCCAACCAGGGAAACAUUUGGGGAACUGGAGAGCAGAUCUACCUCUUCAUGAGGCAGAAAGACAACUCCAAAGACUUCUACUUCAAAAGAACGCUCACCCCUCUGCAGGAGAUGGCUCACACAAUCUCUCUGAGACACCAAGAAGAGCCCAGUGAAAGAUCUGCCUGGAGCCUACCCCUCUGUUGUGCACAUGGGCACUGCUGCUAUUAUUUCUGCUUUGUGGUCACCAUUUAUUGUGUUACUGUCUUUGGUCCUGACAUGAGGAGGCUGUCUGCACCCAGCUGCUGCCCAGCACCCGUCCUAUCCCAAACUCAUGUUUCAUUUGGUCCCUGUGCUCCAAAACAAUCACAGUUGUCGUCUGAGUUGGCCUCUUCAUUUUUGGGAUCUCUUCCUUCUCUUUGAGGCUCAAGAGUAGCCCAUUAGGCUGAACUGAGGAUGGGAGUAUGGAUGGACAGAGGCCAUGCUGUUGAUGAUAUUAUUACCAUAUUCUCAUAUCCAUGGGUCCUUUGCUUGACUCCUUCAUCCUUUAUAUAUAUAUGUAAAUAUAUAAAUUGAGCAAGCAGAUACUUAAGAGCAUAGUGUCAUCUAAUUCCACACUCCACGUUCUAGACAUAUCCAGUUUCAAACCUGGCCCAGUUAGAAUAGCAUGCUACAUCUCUUAGAGAAGGCUAAAUCAGGGGCUAUUGUUUUAAUUGCUGAACUUUUUUACUCUCAACCAUGAUUUGAUUGAAAUUCUAUUCUAUGAUCAAAGAGGACUAUUUCACUACUAAAUAUAAUCCUUUAAAGAGUGAAGUAAGUGUUGAUAGCACAUUUUUCCAUCAUUUGCAGCAAGGUUACAUAAAUGAUUAACAAACAAAAUCUUCAGCUACUGAGAAGAGAACAUUAUAUUCACAAAAGAAGUGGCAUUCUUUAGAGAAAGGUAAAGACACUGUAGUUGCUAUGACUAAGUUCUGUCCAAUGUAAUUUAUAUAAUUUGAUACUUAGAUAAAUUUUUUUUAAAAAGUUAGAAACCAAUUAUUUGCUUCUGUAUUGAGAUGAAUUGUUAACUAUAAGUUUUAGCAUUUCACCCUUUUCUUUGGUUAAUUUAAGGCAAACAUCUGAUCAUCAUUGCCAAAUCAUAGGAAAACAAAAUCGA